rnacentral:ncRNA from 1 species
CAAAGGUUUGGUCCUAGCCUUAACAUCAGCCUUAGCCCUACCUACACAUGCAAGUCUCCGCACCCCUGUGAGAAUGCCCCCAACUUCCCAAACGGAAGUAGGGAGCCGGCAUCAGGCACAAUAACUUUAGCCCAAGACGCCUUGCUCAGCCACUCCCCCAAGGGAACUCAGCAGUGACAAACAUUAAGCCAUAAGUGAAAACUUGACUUAGUUCAGGCUAAGAGGGCCGGUAAAACUCGUGCCAGCCACCGCGGUUAUACGAGAGGCCCUAGUUGAUUUACACGGCGUAAAGAGUGGUUAUGGAAACUUUACACUAAAGCUGAAAGCCCCUCUAACUGUCAUACGCACUCAAGGGCCAGAAAAACACUCAUACGAAAGUAGCUUUAUCAAUGACAACCAGAACCCACGACAGCUGGGGCACAAACUGGGAUUAGAUACCCCACUAUGCCCAGCCAUAAACUUAGAUGUCCUUAUACAAUCAGCAUCCGCCAGGGAACUACGAGCACCAGCUUAAAACCCAAAGGACUUGGCGGUGUCUCAGACCCCCCUAGAGGAGCCUGUUCUAGAACCGAUAACCCCCGUUCAACCUCACCACUUCUUGCCCUUUCCGCCUAUAUACCACCGUCGCCAGCUUACCCUGUGAAGGGAAAAAAGUAAGCAAAAUGGAAAUUCCCCAAAACGUCAGGUCGAGGUGUAGCACACGAAGUGGGAAGAAAUGGGCUACAUUGCCUGCCACAGGCUACUCACGGAAAGUCACCUGAAACGGUUACUCGAAGGUGGAUUUAGCAGUAAGAAAGAAAUAGAGCGUCUUUCUGAAGCCGGCCCUGAGACGCGCACACACCGCCCGUCACUCUCCCCAACAACUAUACAUCAAAGUAAAUAACACCACAAAAUCUCAUAAGGGGAGGCAAGUCGUAACAUGGUAAGUGUACCGGAAGGUGCACUUGGAAUAAC